rnacentral:rRNA from 1 species
UACGUAGGGGGCAAGCGUUGUCCGGAAUCAUUGGGCGUAAAGAGCGUGUAGGCGGCCAGAUAAGUCCGCUGUGAAAACUCGAGGCUCAACUUCGAGCUGUCGGCGGAAACUAUCUGGCUAGAGUCCGGAAGAGGAGAGUGGAAUUCCUGGUGUAGCGGUGAAAUGCGCAGAUAUCAGGAGGAACACCGAUGGCGAAGGCAGCUCGCUGGGACGGUACUGACGCUGAGACGCGAAAGCGUGGGGAGCAAACAGG